rnacentral:rRNA from 1 species
UACGUAGGGACCAAGCGUUGUUCGGAUUUACUGGGCGUAAAGGGCGCGUAGGCGGCGCGGUAAGUCACUUGUGAAAUCUCUGAGCUUAACUCAGAACGGCCAAGUGAUACUGCAGUGCUAGAGUGCAGAAAGGGCAAUCGGAAUUCUUGGUGUAGCGGUGAAAUGCGUAGAUAUCGGGAGGAACACCGGUGGCGAAGGCGGUUCUCUGGGCCUUACCUGACGCUGAGGAGCGAAAGCGUGGGGAGCGAACAGG